GGUAAGUGGCUUAGUCGGCAAAGCAUGAGACUUUCAGUUUCUGGGUUGUGGGUUCAAGUCCCACGUUGGGCA